AAAGAACGACGAGCCAUAUACAACUCUGAAAACUAUAUAUAUACACAAAGAACAUGAAAACCAGAAAACAUUUUACAAAACGUGUGAACAAGACAAUAGUGUUUCCGGGGAAAAAAAUUCAAUAAAGAUAGUUCUUACAUUUAGUCAAGUAAAAGGGCAUUUACGUCAAUUAACUUAAGAAAAGGUGUACUUUCUAACUUUUUAGAUUCCAAAAGGAAGGAGAGAAACUCUGCGAACUCCUGAAAGUCUCAAACAGAUGCCCCCCUGCCCACCCAAUCGCGCACACGAACCAAGGAGAACGAACUUUCCAUCUCCUUCCUUAGGCCUUUAUAUGAUAUACCUAUCUGGGUUUUUCCUCUGGACUCCAGAAUAAUACUAUAUUUAAGCUUUGUAUGAUAGCAUGUUGUUCUACAUAAGGGGCUUGUUCCAUUUGGUUUGGCAUAAAAACUUGGCAAGUUAUCCUUAGUAUUUCCAUCACUUUUUUUGUGUAAUUGACAGUUGUUAUCUAAGGAAAGUGAGCUGCAUGCUAUCUGCUUUUACAUUUUCAAUUCAAUAUUAUCUUCAUGGCCUUAAGACCUUUAUGUAAAGGAAGAUUCAAGCCCAAUGUAUCCAACAUGGAAGAUAUUCAAUUGAGUACUACUUGGGAAGAUGUGUUUUGCCCGAUAUGCUUGGAGUUUCCGCACAAUGGUGUACUCCUUCAAUGCUCAUCUCAUGAGAAAGGAUGCCAUCCUUUUGUGUGUGACACAGACCAUUUGCACUCAAACUGCUUAGACCGUUUCAAAAGCGCGUAUGGUAUGUCAUCGGCUUCAACAUCAAAUGUAACUCCCACAGAAAACAGCGAGCCAGUGGUAUCUGAAGGCAACUAUAAACCAAGUUGUCCCUUGUGUAGAGGAGAGGUUACUGGGUGGGUGGUUGUUGAAAAGGCUCGUCUAUAUCUAGAUGAGAAGAGACGUUAUUGUGAGGAGGCACAAUGUAAAUUUAUGGGGACGUAUUUAGAACUGCAAAACCAUGCUCGACUGGUGCACCCUCAUGCUCGUCCAUCAAAGAUUGAUCCUGCUCAGCAGCUUGAUUGGGAGAAUUUCCAGCAGUCCUCUGAGAUCAUAGAUGUUUUGAGCACUAUUCAUUCCGAAGUCCCACAUGGUGUGGUUUUGGGAGACUAUGUAAUUGAAUAUGGGGAUGAUGAAACUGUAGAUGAAUUUGAGGACUUCCCUGGGGAUGAGGGGAAUUGGUGGACCUCUUGUAUCCUUUAUCAGGUGUUUGAUAACUUCCGGAGUUCUAGAAACAGAAGAAGGUCAAGAGUUAGUGAUACAAGAAGUGGAAAUCACCGUACAAGUUAUGAUAGUUCCAUUUCUGAUGGGGGUUCUGUAACAUCUGUAGAAUAUUCUGAGUAUAGGGUAGACGAGACUGAUUAUGAUUUUGUGAGUACAAAUGUCCCAAGGGAUACCUCCAAUCAUCGCAGUUCUCAAAGACGCCGUUCCCGCUUCUAUGACAAUUAGGUAUGCACUGCCCAUGGAUCCUCUUUAUGCUGGCUAUUGUUUACUAUACAAUGGAAAAUCUUUGGUCAUUUUAUACUAUAACCCUCGUCUUCAUUGUUUGAAGUGAGAGGGCAUAUUUGGUUAUUCUGUCUUUUUUAGGCAUAUAACUUAAUUGUUUUUCUUUGACAGUGCUUGCUUAGAUGUAUAGUGAAAAACAGAGGAAGUAGAAAACACUGUAUGCUUGCUUCAGAUCACCUCAAUGUUAAAACAUGCAAAAGCUCAUCUGGAUCUCGUCUUGUAACAUUUGUGAUGAGAUGUGGUGAUUAUACAUGAACUAACCUGAUAAUCCAUCUGGUUAUGUUAUGACUGCUUUGGUAAA